UCUUAGUUCGUGGAGUGAUCUGUCUGCUUAAUUGCGUUUCAAAAUUUAACUUGAGGACCGGGUUUUGGUUUGGCUAGUGGUUCUACGAUGACUGUGAACUGUCAUGUCUUCGGAUGUGCGACUAUUGGUCUAGGAUCACAUGACUUGCCCCUGGGACUCUUUUGAACGCAACGGACGUGAUUGCAACCCCUUGUUGAGAUUAGAGAUAGUCUCGAUAUUCACUGGACAAACUGGCUGCUUUAUGCAGUCUUGUUGAAUGGUGGAUAAACUCGGGGGACUGCUGACUAUAACCAUUUCUCAAAACAGAGGAAGGUUGCGGCAAUAACAGGUCUGUGAUGCCCUCAGAUGUCCCGGGCUGCACACGUGCUACAAUGAGUGGCGCAAUGUGCUAAUGUUUAAGGGAUAAGAGUGUGGUCAGUAGAACGUCGGGAUUUCCCCUGACGUCUCCCCCGCACGAUUAUCAGCCUUCCCUUAACAGGGCGGGCAACCUUUUCAAAAUACUGGUUUGAUGUUAAAGUAUUGAGUCGUUUUUUUUGGAUGGUGGUUUGUUAACCAAUACCAUCCGGCAACUGCUCGCGAGUUUGUGGUUCUGGCGACUCAUGG
rnacentral:rRNA from 1 species